rnacentral:misc_RNA from 1 species
AAGUCGUAACAAGGUUUCCGUAGGUGAACCUGCGGAAGGAUCAUUAAUACGUAUCCAACGUUAAACCCCCCCUGUGAACUUUUACACUUGCUUCGAAGCCCUCCGGAAUUGCAAUCCCUGGUAAAUCAUUGUUGAACAGAUUUUGAUUCAGGGACCUCAGUUUGGAGAGCCUAGUUGAGCGAUCGUGACCGGCCGGUGGACAGGUUGCAGUGGCUUCACGGCCCCAUAUUAACCCCACUACCUGUACCGGCCUCGUAGGAAACUACUGGGCAACAAACGAACAACUGUUAACAAUGGAUAUCUUGGUUCUC